CCAGCUUUUCUUCAGCCUCAAACAUGGGGAAAGGUUAGGAUACUCAGUUUUUCGUAUUGAAAAACUUUUGGAGAAGACUCAAACAGACACAAACUUGCAUAUCAUGUAUGACAUUGCAUGUGUUCUGCACAGACACCUAUAGAAAAGCCAACAUCACAGUUACUUAGUUAACAAAAUUAAGCUAUCUGUGCCCAUAUUUCACAGCUAUGGACAUAAACGGUCUUGCCAGGUUUGUAUUUUUGUAUCAUUUUAGUAAUGCUAUUCUUAA